rnacentral:rRNA from 1 species
UACGAAGGGGGCUAGCGUUGUUCGGAUUUACUGGGCGUAAAGGGUGCGCAGGCGGAUUUUUAAGUCAGGGGUGAAAUCCCGAGGCUCAACCUCGGAACUGCCUUUGAUACUGGGGAUCUUGAGUCCGGAAGAGGUGAGUGGAACUGCGAGUGUAGAGGUGAAAUUCGUAGAUAUUCGCAAGAACACCGGUGGCGAAGGCGGCUCACUGGUCCGGAACUGACGCUGAGGCACGAAAGCGUGGGGAGCAAACAGG